UACAGAGGGUGCAAGCGUUGUUCGGAAUUAUUGGGCGUAAAGGGCGCGUAGGCGGUGUGGCAAGUCAGGUGUGAAACCUCCAGGCUUAACUUGGAGCUGGCAUCUGAAACUGCCGCGCUAGAGUGCGGGAGAGGAGAGUGGAAUUCCUGGUGUAGCGGUGAAAUGCGUAGAUAUCAGGAGGAACACCGGUGGCGAAGGCGGCUCUCUGGACCGCAACUGACGCUGAGGCGCGAAAGCUAGGGGAGCAAACAGG
rnacentral:rRNA from 1 species